rnacentral:lncRNA from 1 species
CCAGACAAUGCAUUCAAAGAGACCCGCCAACAGUCAAAUAAUUAGUGAACCUUAGAGAUAGAGAGAUAUAUCUAUAAUUAGUUUGUUUCUCUUCUAUUUUUCUAUCUCCCUUCUAUCUAUUUUCUUUAGUUAUUUACUAGAGCAAUUAUGAUUUAGAAGUCGAUCCGGGGCAAGUGUUCAGAUCUAUUAUGACAUAGCCUUGAGGCAUUCAACGGACCCUUUAACCUUUUAAAAACCUUUUUGGGCUUUGGAUUGAUCCAAAAACGACUUUUUUGUGCAACCUAGUGUAUAUUCAUAGAAGUUAUUAGAUGGAGCUCUUUAAUUUUUUACCUAGAAGAUUGUAAUUACUCUAUUCCAAAUCACGCUAGUAGCCAUUAGACAUUACUAAGAGACAUCCCCGGUAUAUAUAUAUUUAGUGAUUCAAGGGUUUCUUUUAUUAGUUUUAAUACUAAUAACUAAUAAGAAUUUUGUUUAAUUGAAUUUUUUCAUUUUAAUAUUUUUUAAUUUUAAUUUUAAUAUAUUUUAAUUUUAAUAUAAAUAAAUAAUUUUAAUAUAUUAAUAUAAAUAAAUAAAUAAUAAAUAAAUAGAAUAAAAAGAAGUCUAUUUUGUCCUCUAUCUGUCUUUUUUAUUCCUAAAAAAUAGCAGAUGAAUAUAGAAGUGAAAUAGAAGGCUUAGAAGGGAGAUAAUGAAAUUAUGUGAUUGGGUCUUCCAAAAGCAAAGGAAUGAUCCGUUUUUUAGUUAACUGAUCUGAUGGGUCCAACAAACAAUUAAUUAUAACAAACUGAUGGGUCCGACAAACAAUUAAUUAUAACUAAUAAUUAAAUUCUAAAUAAAGGAUAAUAAAUAAAUGGGGUCUUAUUUUAUUCGAAACGUCUCGUGAUCUUCAACCAAUUAUGUGCUUCAAUAUAAUUACCGAGAGUAAGCGCUAUAGCCUAUUUCCAAUACUCAGUGACUUGAUCGAACCAAGCCUCUGCAAUUUCAGAAUAUCCCUGUUAAAGUCCUGUUCUCCCCGGCUGGAAUAGGUAGAACAAUUCCUUCCCUUAGAACCGUACUUGAGAAUUUCUUACCUCAUAUGGCUCAGCAGUCAAUUCUUUUGGUAUCCCAUUUUGAUCUAUACCAUAUCUAUCUAAUCAUAUUUCUCAUGGAUCUAUCCUAGCUUUAGGGUUAAUCAAAAGAAAAAUAGGUUAAUUACAUGAGUUUCAAACUAAAAUUUGGAUUAAUAAUCUGUUUAUUUAGUUUUAUCUUUUUUCCCACAUUCAGAAGAAUAAAGCAUAGGCAUUUCUACUACUGGUAGAAUUUUCUGAAAUAUAACUAUCUCGGUUUCAUAGAUAAAUUUAUAUAUAAUCUUUGAAAAAGACAUUCUUUCAUAAGAAAGAAAAUACUUACUAUCUUUGGGAUUCGAUCCUACACCGCUGCUCAAGACUUUAGUGGAUCGACUCUAUUACAUAAGUUAAUUCCUAAUUCUUAUCUCACAUUAUUAGAUAAGUAUGCAGUUAUUAUUGUAUCGGCCCAAAACCUCACUAAUUGAUCUUUACGGUGCUUCCUCUCUCUCUAUCAAUUAAAGCCUUAUAUCCAUAGAAAAAGUUGCAAGGCAGAUUUAUUUUUUCUUAUUUUGCCUUCUAUGAAGUUUCUUUCUUUGCUACAACUGAUAAAAAUCGUUGUUUUAGACGAUGCAUAUGUAGAAAGCGUAUUUGGUUCUAGUAGUUACUUUACUAGAUUUUUCUUUUUUUUCUUUCUAUAGUGGAGAUAGUCGCACUUAAUGACUGAUCACGGCCAUAUUAUUAAAAGCUUGUGGCAAGAAUGGGUUUCGUUCUAGUGCUCAAAAAUAAUAUUCCAAAGCUUUCGUAUGUUCUCCAUUACUUGUGUGGAUAAGCCCUAUAUUAUAGAGUAUAUAACUUCGAUCAUAGGGAUCAAUUUCUAGUCGCAUAGCUUCAUAAUAAUUCUGCAAAGUUUUCGCAUAAUUUCUUUCGGAUUGAGCCGACAUCUGUUACACUCGUCAUUCAAUUGAAAGAAUCUCCGUUCCAAAACCAUACGUGAGAAUUUCACCUCAUACAGCUCCUCCCAUAUGUGCAUAAUGAGAAUAAUACAUAGAAUUAAAAAAAAAGAUCUAAUGAUGAAAAUAUUCUCAUUAUGAACUCAGCAGGGCUAGUGUUUUUACAAGAAAUCUCUAGCCAACCUUCCUGCAAGAGAUUCUUUCUUAACAUCAAGCCUAUUGGGACUAGAUAGAAAUGAUAAGAUAACUCCAACAAUUUCUUUGUUUUUAACGCCUCCUAAUUUACAGGAAUUAGUCACUUCAAUAGCCUUUGAUGGUUAUAUGGGUAUCCAAAGGACGAACGAGAUGGAUGUUUGUUGUCCCAAACAUUCUUUAAGUCCCAAGCCCACUAAGGGAAGGGCUGACUUAGAAUAAAGUUUUCAUGUUAUUGAUUCCUAGGUGUAGUGCUUCUUCCCCUAUGAUGCCUAUUAGCGCUUGUAAAGUAGGAUUGACCCGUAAUACAGAACCUUUAGGCUUAACCUUUAGCUUAAUACUAGAAUCGGGAAUUGAAACAUAGCAUCUGAGGUUGCAUUAAUCAAGGACACACGACAGAAGGAAUUGUUCGAUUUCCAAACUUCACCUACAAAAAAAGUAGAUUUUUUUUUCAAAAAUUUUCUCAAAUCACGUGUUUUUCUGCUCAUAAGACUGAGAGAAAUGAAUAAAUAUGAAAUAAAAAAAAAGAAUCAAAUCGCACCAUCUCUGUAAUAGGUAAAUGCCUCUUUUUCUCCUGAAGUUGUCGGAAUUACUCGUAAUAAGAUAUUGGCUACAAUUGAAAAGGUCUUAUAAAUAAAAUUUCCAUUUAUACGUGAUCUAGGCAUAGGUAGCAAUCCAUUCUAGAAUUCUUCUCAUUACCUCUCAUGGGAAAAAGAUCCCACAAAGAAAAGAAUUGUAUAGUACGAAAUAACAUAAAACCUUAUUUGUUUUAAGAAAAAAACAAAAGAUAUGAAUCCUCUAUUCCAAUUGUUCCUUUUUGACAGGAGUCGCUAAGAAAUAAGAAAUAUUUCAACGCGAUUUCAUUUCAUACUAAUGUAGUAGUAUAGGAUGUUAUUUCGGUGAAGUUAAAAAUUAAAAGAACUCGAGAAAUUUUGAUUGAAUCAUGAUACAAAUUACAAAGAAGAAAAAAGAUCGAAUAAUCAUUUUAUGAUGAAAAUAGAAUAGCUGACAAUUUUGUGUACAUAAUGGGUAUACACUAUACAAUCGAAUCUCAAUUUUUUUAUGAAUUUCUAUUCUAAUAAAGGGGUAGGUAUUUGUUGUUGAGAACUCCAAAACCGAAAAGGAAUUUGAAAAAUUUUCUGGUAUGGAAUCAUAGUCUAUAUCUAUAUAAUUAGAAUUAUGACUUAAGAGUAGCCAGUAACUAUUGUCUAAAUGAUAUAGACCAUCAAUAAGUUGAUUCGUUCUAAUUCAUUGAAUUAAUCCAUUAUAAAAAUAUCAAAAAAAGAAGGGAACAUUGGUUUUGCAAACAUGAAUUGAAGUUUUUUAACAAUUUUUACAAAAAAUUCUAUCUUUACCCUGGAGCCUCGAAGGAAAGAAAAAUCGUUCUUUGCUUUGACUUUAAUGAAAAAAUUUUAGUUAAAGUUAAAAUAGGUUGGUCGUACCUAGUCCAAUAAUGAAAUAUGGGUUAUGACUAACUUGCUAUUCACUCGGUUUUAGGGACAUAAUCAUUAUGUAGGAGAGAUGGCCGAGUGGUUCAAGGCGUAGCAUUGGAACUGCUAUGUAGGCUUUUGUUACCGAGGGUUCGAAUCCCUCUCUUUCCGUACCUUCAUUUAAUUCAUCAAUUUUACUAACAAAAAGGGCUCAAAUAGCAAUGGAUACUAUUAUUCCAAUAGCUAGACCCUUCUUUGAUCUAAAGAUAUAGAUUCUCAAUUCCUAAUUGCUUUGACGCGAAAAAUAAAAUACUAAAAAAUAAUCAUAAUCAAAAUACUGGAAAGAAAAGAGUAGACAAGGAAUGAAAAUAGACCCUUGGUCUAUGAUACAAAAAUGGGGGAAAUCCAGAUCAAACUCGGAUUUAUCUUACUUAACCUUGGGUUAAUUUACUUCGCUUAAAGGGAAGAAAAUUUUACGAACCCUUGUUUUUAGUUUGAGGUUUAAUUCUGACGAGAAUAAUAUUCUAUGACUAGCAAUUCAUUUAUUUUCAAACCGAACCAUAUACUAUAUAUUAUUGGAUUGACUAAUCCUUUAUAUUGGAAUAGGUGAAGGGUCAAAUGAUUUGGUAAUUCCUCAUGAGGGGAUGAAUCUAGAGAAAUUUGUAUCAGAGCUCUGGAUUUUUGUUCAUCCUUUGCCGUAAUACUAUCUUGGGGUUUGCAGCGAUAACUCGGUAUAUCUACUAUACGACCAUUAACUAAAAUAUGUCGAUGGUUAACUAAUUGACGGGCUGCGGGAAUAGUUGAAGCCAUACCCAAUCGAAAAAGGAUUACCAUGAGCGGAUUGUAUCUAUUGAGUAAAUAUAGGUUCAAUCAAGAUUUGCUUCUCUGGAGGGCCAAAGGCAAGCAUGACAUCAUUAUGAACAUAAAGUCGUAGGGUAUGGAAUCCCAGAAAGAGGCUGGCCCAACAUAAAUGAGAUAUGAUAGCUUCUUUAUGAUCUAACAUUCUUCCCAAUACAUUAUCUUCAUUUUGCUGCGGAUUGUAAUCUCUAAUGAAAAAUAUAGCUCCAUGAGCAAAAGCUCCUAUCAUGAUAAAUCCAGCGAUAAAUUGGAGGUAGGUAUAUAAUGUAGCUUGAGUAGUGAAGUCCUGUGCUAUGAAUGCAUAAGCAGGUAAAGAGUACAUGUGUUGAGCUACCAAAGAAGUAAUAAAGCUAGAUCAAAGCCUCAUUGAAAAUGAAGUGAAUUGUUGAUUGUGUCAUAAAGACCCUUAUGUCCACGCCCCAAUCGCCCCCUGAAGGAAUAUGUCCAUCUAAAAGAUCUUUCAUACUAUGCCCAAUCCUGAAAUUGGUUCUAUACAUAUGACCAGCAACGAGAAAAAUAAAUGCAAUAGCUAAAUAGUGAUGGGCAAUAUAAGUCAACCAUAAACUUUGUAUUUGUGGAUGGAAUCCCCUGAGAAGAGUUAGAAUGGCAGUUCCCACCCCUUGGGCGGUACCAAAUAAAUGACUACUUGAAUUGGGGUUUUGAGCAAAAAGAUUCCAUUGACUUGUAAAAAGUGGGCCUAACCCUUGGGGAUGCGGUAAUACAUCUAAGAAAUUAUUCCACUGAACGUACUCCCCUCUGGAUGCAGGAAUAGCAACAUGGACUAAAUGCCCUGCCCACGGCAAGGAAAUUACGCCAAAAAGUCCUAAAAAAUGAUGAUUCAGACGAGAUUCGGCAUUUUUGAACCAGGAAAUGCUCGGUUUCCAUUUUGGUUGUAGGUGUAACCAACCUGCUAUUAAGCCUAUGGUAGAAAGAAAUAAUAAAAAAAGAGCGCCAGUAUAAAGAUCAUGAUUAGUGCGUAAACCAAUUGUAUACCACCACUGAUAAACACCAGAAUAAGCGAUAUUCACUGGGCCAAGAGCACCCCCUCGAGUAAAAGCUUCCACGGCCGGUUGACCAAAAUGAGGAUCCCAAAUUGCAUGAGCAAUAGGUCUUACAUAUAAAGGGUCCUGUACCCACGACUCAAAAUUUCCUUGCCAACCAAAAGUCCACAGAAAAAUUAUUGCUAAUUGACCGAAGUGAGAAGUAAAAAUAUUCUAAUAAAGACGUUCCUCAGAAAUAUCAUCAUGACUCUCAAAGGCAUGUGCGGUAGCAAUACCAAACCAAAUACGAUAAGUAGUGGGGUACUGAGCUAAGACGGCUAAACCGUGGAAAUCGUAAUGCCAUAAUGCUUUUCAAAUCCUCCUAGCCAUUAUCGUACUGCAAUAAUUCUUGCUAAGAAUGCCCAUGUUGUGGCAAUUCCACCCAGAAGGUAAUGGGUUACUCCUACAGCACGUCAUUGUAUAAUGUUCAAGGCUCUCGGCUGAGUAGCAGGAGCAACUUUUAAUUAUUGUAAGCCCAAACGAUGGAUUAAAUAAGUUCUUGCGAAUAACCACAUCCGUUGAAUAGAAACAUUAAACUAAAAGCCUAGACAAAAUGAGCGCCUAGGAAAAAAAGGCCAUAUGCGGAUAAUGAAGAACCAUAAGACUAAAUUACCUGGGAUGCCUGUGCCCAUAAUAAAUUGCCGAGCCACCCAUUAAUAGUAAUAGAACUCUGCACAAAGUUUCCUCCUGUGAUAUGAGUUACUACCCCUUGAUAACGUAUACUACCUUAAACAUGUGACUGCAUUUUCCAACUGAAAUGGAAUAUUACUACAGAAAUUAAAUUGUACAUCCAGAAUAGUCCUAAGAAGACAUGAUCCCAGGCCGAUACUUGACAUGUACCCCCUCUUCCAGGUCCAUCACAAGGAAAACGAAAACCAGGAUUUGCCUUAUCAAGUAUUAAACUAGAACUGCGAGCAAAUAGAAUACCUUUCAAGAGUAUCAAUACCAUCACAUUAAUCGUAAAUGCAUGAAUAUGAUGUACCAAGAAAUUGGUGGUUUCUAAUGAAAUAGGCAACAAAGCCACCUUGCCACCCACUGCCACUAAAUCACCACCCCCCUAAGUUAAACUGGUGCUUGCUGUUGCACCAGGAGUCGUUGCACCAGGUGCUAAAGCAUGGGUGUUGUGUAUCCAUUGAGCAAAAAUAGGUUGUAAUUGUAUAGUGGUAUCUGAAAACAUAUCUUGAGGAAGCCAUAAAGCGUUUAUGGUAUCAUUAUUAAUAUACACACCAAAACUAUAAAAGCCUAAAAAUAUACAUACCCAGUUGAGAUGGGAUAUGAUUGCAUCACGAUACCUAAGGACACGAUCUCAUAGAUCGUUGUAUCGUGUAGGUUGAUCAUAAUCUCUUACCAUAAAAAUGACUGCAUGCGCGGCAGCACCAAUUAUGAGAAAUCCACUAAUCCACAUGUGAUGUGCGAACAAUGACAGUUGUGUACCAUAGUCAGUAGCUAGAUAUGGAUAAGGGGGCAUGGAAUACAUAUGAUGAGCUACAACAAUGGUUAAAGAGCCUAACAUAGCUAAGUUAAGAGAUAAUUGAGCAUGCCAUGACGUUGUUAGGAUCUCAUAUAGGCCUUUAUGGCCCUGACCCAUAAAUGGGCCUUUAUGGGCUUCUAAAAUAUCUUUUAGAAUAUAACCAAUACCUCAGUUGGUCUUAUACAUGUAACCCGCUAUCUGGAAAAGAAUUGCAAUAGCUAAAUGGUGAUGGGCAAUAUCAGUGAGCCAUAAACCCCCAGUUACUGGAUCUAAUCCUCCAUAAAAAGUAAGAAAGUCUGAUAUUCUGACCAAUUCAAAGCGCAAAAUGGGGUCGCUCCCUCGGCAAAAUUGGGAUAAACUUGAGCCAAAAGAUCUCGAUUCAAGAUAAAUUCAUGAGGAAGUGGUAUCUCUUUAGGAUCUACUCCAGUGUUUAGGAAUUGGUUAUCGGUAAAGAUACGUGUACUUGAUGCCCCGCCCAAGAGGGAGACCCAAGUCUUAGUAGCCCUGCCAAAUGGUGAUUCAUCAUAGAUUCUACAUCUUGAAACCAAGCCAAUUUUGGUGCCGCUUUAUGAUAAUGAAACCAACCAAAAAAAAGCAUUAACGCUGCGAAGACCAAUGCCCCAAUUUCUAUACAAUAGAGUUGUAAUUCACUAGUUAUUCCAGAUGCUCGCCAAAUUUGAAAAAAACUAGAGGUUAUUUGAAUUCCUCGGAAACCCCUACCUACGUCACCAUUUAAUAUUUCUUAGCCCACUAUUGGCCAAAUCACCUGCGCACUAGGCCCAAUGUGAGUUGGAUCACUUAGCCACGCUUCAUAAUUAGAAAAACGAGCACCGUGGAAAUACAUGCCGCUCAGCCAAAGAAAGAUGAUGGAGAGUUGACCGAAAUGUCCACUAAAUACUUUUCAAGAGAUCUCCUCCGAAACACUGGUAUGGCUAUCGAAAUCGUGAGCAUCAGCAUGUUGGUUCUUGAUCCAAGUGGUAGUAUCAGGCCCUUUAGCAAUUGUUCUUGAGAAAUUACUUGAUCUGGCCCAUUCCUCGAAAGAAGUUUUUAUGGGAUCCCUAUCUACCAAAAUUUUAACUUCUGGUUCUGGCGAACAAAUAAUCAUUGAGUCCUCCUCUUUUCGGACAAUGCAUACAAAGAGACCCGCCAAUAGUCAAAUAAUUAGUGAACCUUAGAGAUAGAGAGAUAUUUCUAUAAUUAGUUCGUUUCUCUUCUAUUUUUCUAUCUCCCUUCUAUCUAUUUUCUUUAGUUAUUUACUAGAGCAAUUAUAAUCUAGAAGUCGAUCCGGGGCAAGUGUUUAGAUCUAUUAUGACAUAGCCUUGAGGCGCUCAACGGACCCUUUUACCUUUUAAAAACCUUUUUGGGCUUUGGAUUGAUCCAAAAACGACUUUUUUGUGCAACCUAGUGUAUAUUCAUAGAAGUUAUUAGAUGGAGCUUUUUAAUUUUUUACCUAGAAGAUUGUAAUUACUCUAUUCCAAAUCACGCUAGUAGCCAUUAGACAUUACUAAGAGACAUCCCCGGUAUAUAUAUAUUUAGUGAUUCAAGGGUUUCUUUUAUUAGUUUUAAUACUAAUAACUAAUAAGAAUUUUGUUUAAUUGAAUUUUUUCAUUUUAAUAUUUUUUAAUUUUAAUUUUAAUAUAUUUUAAUUUUAAUAUAAAUAAAUAAUUUUAAUAUAUUAAUAUAAAUAAAUAAAUAAUAAAUAAAUAGAAUAAAAAGAAGUCUAUUUUGUCCUCUAUCUGUCUUUUUUAUUCCUAAAAAAUAGCAGAUGAAUAUAGAAGUGAAAUAGAAGGCUUAGAAGGGAGAUAAUGAAAUUAUGUGAUUGGGUCUUCCAAAAGCAAAGGAAUGAUCCGUUUUUUAGUUAACUGAUCUGAUGGGUCCAACAAACAAUUAAUUAUAACAAAUAUCUAAAUUCUAAAUAAAGGAUAAUAAAUAAAGGGGGUCUUCUUUUAUUCGAAACGUCUCGUGAUCUUCAACCAAUUAUGUGCUUCAAUAUAAUUACCGGGAGUAAGCGCUAUAGCCUAUUUCCAAUACUCAGCGGCUCGAUCGAACCAAGCCUCUGCAAUUUCAGAAUCUCCCUGUUGAAUGGCCUAUUUUCCCCGGCCGAAAUAGGUAGUUCAAUUCCUACCCUUAGAACCGUACUUGAGAAUUUCUUACCUUAUACGGCUCAGCAGUCAAUUCUUUUGGUGUCCCAUUUUUAUCUAUACCAUAUCUAUCUAAUUAGAUUUCUCAUGGAUCUAUGCUAGCUUUAGGGUUAACCAAAAGAAAAAUAGGUUAAUUACAUGAGUUUCAAACUGAAAUUUGGAUGAAUAAUUCGUUUAUUUAGUUUUAUCUUUUUUCCCACCUUCAGAAGAAUAAAGCAUAAUGAAUUACUAUUUUUAUUAACAGCAUUUAACCAACCCGGCAACCAAAUGCUUCGACCCGCAUUAAAUGCUGGGCCACUCAUUGAAAAUAAAACUACAUCAAACCCAUAUGAAGUUUGACCAUGAACGGAUUGUAUCCAUUGAGCAAAUAUAGGUUCAAUCAAGAUUUUCUUCUCUGGAGUGCCAAAGGCAAGCAUGACAUCAUUAUGAACAUAAAGUCCUAGGGUAUGGAACCCCAGAAAGAGACUGGCCCAAAUUAAAUGAGAUAUGAUAGCUUCUUUAUGAUCUAACAUUCUUGCCAAUACAUUAUCUUCAUUUUGAUCCUGAUUGUAAUCUCUAAUGAAAAAUAUAGCUCCAUGAGCAAAAGCUCCUGUCAUGAUGAAUCCUGCGAUAUAUUGGUGGUGGGUAUAUGAUGGAGCUUGAGUAGUGACGUCCUCUGCUAUGAAUGCAUAAGCAGGUAAAGAGUACAUAUGUUGAGCUACCAAAGAAGUAAUAACCCCUAAAGAAGAUAGAGCAAGGCCUAAUUGAAAAUGAAGUGAAUUGUUGAUUGUGUCAUAAAGACCCUUAUGUCUACGCCCCAAUCGCCCCUCAAUGGAAUAUGUGCAUCUAGAUCUUUUAUAUUGUGCCCAAUCCCGAAAUUGGUUCUAUACAUAUGACCAGCAACGAGAAAAAUAAAUACAAUAGCUAAAUGGUGAUGGGCAAUAUCAGUCAACCAUAAACUUUGCAUUUGUGGAUGGAAUCCCUCGAGAAGAGUUAGAAUGGCAGUUCCUGCCCCUUGGGCGGUACCAAAUAAAUGAGUACUUGAAUCGGGGUUUUGAGCAUAAAGAUUCCAUUGACCUGUAAAAAGUAGGCCUAACCCUUCGGGAUGUGGUAAUACAUCUAAGAAAUUAUUCCACCGAAAAUACUACCCUUUGGAUGCAGGAAUAGCAACAUGGACUAAAUGUCCUAUCCAAGCCAAGGAACUUAUGCCAAAAAGUCCUGACAAAUGAUGAUUCAGACGAGAUUCGGCAUUUUUGAACCAGGAAACGCUUGGUUUCCAUUUUAGUUGUAGGUGUAACCAACCUGCUAUUAAGGAUAUGGCAGAAAGAAAUAAUAGAAAAAGAGUGCCAGUAUAAAGAUCUUGAUUAGUGCGUAAACCAAUUGUAUACCACCACUGAUAAACACCAAAAUAAGCGAUAUUCACUCGGCCAAGAGCACCCCCUCGAGUAAAAGCUUUCACGGCCGAUUGACCAAAAUAAAGAUCCUAAAUUACAUGAGCAACAGGUCUUACAUGUAAAGGGUCUUGUACCCACGACUCAAAAUUUACUUGCUAAGCUACAUGAAACAGAUUUCCGAAAGUCCACAGAAAAAUUAUAUCUAAUUGACCGAAAUGAGAAGCAAAAAUAUUCUGAUAAAGACAUUCCUCAGUAAUAUCAUCAUGACUCUCGAAGUUAUGUGCGGUGCAAUACCAAACUAAAUACGACGAGUAGUGGGGUGCUGAGCUAAACCUUGGCUAAACCUUGAAAAUCGUAAUGCCAUAAUGCUUUUCAAAUACUCCUAGCCAUUAUACUACUGCAAUAAUUCUUGCUAAGAAGAAUGCCCAUGUUGUGGCAAUUUCACCCAGAAGGUAAUGGGUUACUCCUACAGCACGUCUUUGUAUAAUGCUCAAGGCUCUUGGCUGAGUAGCAAGAGCAAAUUUUAAUUAUUAUGAGCCCAAACGAUGGAUUCAGUAAGUUCUUGCCAAUAACCACAUCCGCUGAAUAGAAAUAUUAAACUAAAAGCCCAGACAAAAUGAGCGCCUAGGAAAAAAAGGCCAUAUGCGGACAAUGAAGAACCAUAAGACUAAAUUAGCUGGGAUACCUGUGCCCAUAAGAAAUCGCCGAGCCACCCAUUAAUAGCAAUAGAACUCUGCGCAAAGUUUCCUCCCAUGAUAUAAGUUACUACCCAUUGAUCACUUACACCACCCUAAAUAUCUAAUUGCAUUUUCCAACUGAAAUGGAAUAUUACUACAAAAAUUGAAUUGUACAACCAGAAUAGUCCUAAGAAGACAUGAUCCCAGGCCGAUACUUGACAUGUACCCCCUCUUCCAGGUCCAUCACAAGGAAAACAAAAACCAAGAUUUGCCUUAUCCAAUAUUAAAGGAGAACUGUGAGCAAAUAGAACACCUUUUAAGAGUAUCAAUACUGUCACAUGAAUCAUAAAUGCAUGAAUGUGAUGUACCAAGAAAUUAGUGGUUCCUAAUGAAAUAGGCAACAAAGCCACCUUGCCACCCACUGCCACUAAAUCACCACCCCCCACGUUAAACUGGUGCUUGCUGUUGCACCAGGGGCCAUUGCACUAGGUGCUAAAGCAUGGGUGUUUUGUAUCCAUUGAGCAAAAACGGGUUGUAAUUGUAUAGCGGUAUCUGAAAAAAUAUCUUCAGGAAUCCCUAAGGCGCUCAUGGUAUCAUUAUGAAUAUACAAACCAAAAUUGUGAAAACCUAGAAAUAUACAUGCCCAGUUGAGAAGGGAUAUGAUUGUAUCACGAUGCCUAAGGACACGAUCUAAUAGAUCAUUGUACCGAGUAGUUGGAUCAUAAUCUCUUACCAUAAAAAUGGCUGCAUGAGCGGCAGAACCAACUAUGAGAAAUCCACCAAUCCACAUGUGAUGUGUGAACAAUGACAGUUGUGUAAUAUAGUCAGUAGCUAGAUAGGGAUAAGGGGGCAUAGAAUACAUAUGAUGAUCUACAACAAUCGUUAAAGAGCCUAACAUAGCUAAGUUAAGAGAUAAUUAAGCAUGCCAUAACAUUGUUAGGUUCUCAUAUUGGCCUUUAUGGCCCUAACCUAUAAAUGGACCUUUAUGGGCUUUUAAAAUAUUUUUCAGUCCAUGACCAAUACCCUAGUUGGUCUUAUACAUGUGACCCACUAUCAGGAAAAGAAUUGCAGAGCUAAAUGGUGAUGGGCAAUAUCAGUUGUCCACAAACCCCCAGUUAUUGGAUCUAAUCCUCUACGAAAAGUAAGAAAGUCAGCAUAUUUUGACCAAUCCAAGGUGUAAAAUGGGGUUGCUCCCUCGGCAAAACUGGGAUAAACUUGAGCCAAAAGAUCUCGAUUCAAGAUAAAUUCAUGAGGAAGUGAUAUCUCUUUAGGAUCUACUCCAGCAUUUAGAAAUUGGUUAAUCGGUAAAGAUACGUGUACUCGAUGCCCCGCCCAACAGAGAGACCCAAGUCCUAGCAGCCCUGCCAAAUGGUGAUUCAGCAUAGAUUCUAUAUCUUGAAACCAAGCCAUUUUUGGCUCCACUUUAUGAUAAAGAAACCAACCAGCAAAAAGCAUUAAUGCUGCAAAGACCAAUGCCCCAAUUGCUGUACAAUAGAGUUGUAAUUCACUAGUUAUUCUAGAUGCUCGCCAAAUCUGAAAAAAAACUAGAGGUUAUUUGUAUUCCUCGGAAACCCCCGCCUACGUCACCAUUUAAUAUUUCUUGGCCCACUAUUGGCCAAACCACCUGGGCACUAGGCCCAAUGUGAGUUGGAUCACUUAGCCACGCUUCAUAAUUAGAAAAACGAGCACCGUGGAAAUACAUGCCGCUCAGCCAAAGAAAGAUGAUGGAGAGUUGACCGAAAUGUGCACUAAAUACUUUUCGAGAGAUCUCCUCCAAAUCACUGGUAUGGCUAUCGAAAUCGUGAGCAUCAGCAUGUAGGUUCCAGAUCCAAGUGGUAGUAUCAGGCCCUUUAGCUAUUGUUCUUGAGAAAUGACCCGGUCUGGCCCAUUCCUCGAAAGAAGUUUUUACGGGAUCCCUAUCUACCAAAAUUUUAACUUCUGGUUCCGGCGAACGAAUAAUCAUUGAGUCCUCCUCUUUCCGGACAACACAUACAAAGAGACCCGCCAACAGUCAAAUAAUUAGUGAACCUUAGAGAUAGAGAGAUAUUUCUAUAAUUAGUUCGUUUCUCUUCUAUUUUUCUAUCUCCCAUCUAUCUAUUUUCUUUAGUUAUUUACUAGAGCAAUUAUGAUCUAGAAGUCGAUCCGGGGCAAGUGUUCAGAUCUAUUAUGACAUAGCCUUGAGGCGCUCAACGGACCCUUUAACCUUUUAAAAACCUUUUUGGGCUUUGGAUUGAUCCAAAAACGACUUUUUUGUGCAACCUAGUGUAUAUUCAUAGAAGUUAUUAGAUGGAGCUCUUUAAUUUUUUACCUAGAAGAUUGUAAUUACUCUAUUCCAAAUCACGCUAGUAGCCAUUAGACAUUACUAAGAGACAUCCCCGGUAUAUAUAUAUUUAGUGAUUCAAGGGUUUCUUUUAUUAG